CCCAGACUCCUACGGGAGGCAGCAGUGGGGAAUAUUGGGCAAUGGGCGCAAGCCUGACCCAGCAACGCCGCGUGAAGGAAGAAGGCUUUCGGGUUGUAAACUUCUUUUAUUCGGGACGAAGAAAGUGACGGUACCGAAUGAAUAAGCCACGGCUAACUACGUGCCAGCAGCCGCGGUAAUACGUAGGGAGCAAGCGUUAUCCGGAUUUAUUGGGUGUAAAGGGUGCGUAGACGGAGAAGCAAGUUAGUUGUGAAAUCCCUCGGCUUAACUGAGGAACUGCAACUAAAACUACUUCCCUUGAGUACUGGAGAGGAAAGUGGAAUUCCUAGUGUAGCGGUGAAAUGCGUAGAUAUUAGGAGGAACACCAGUGGCGAAGGCGACUUUCUGGACAGUAACUGACGUUGAGGCACGAAAGUGUGGGGAGCAAACAGGAUUAGAUACCCCUGUAAAA
rnacentral:rRNA from 1 species